UGAUCUGCAGAUCGCUAUCGGCAGCUUUCAGCUUUUCUCUCCCCAUAAUCUGCUUCUUUAAGUCGCAGAGGGAGAUAUGGAGCCCAUCAAAGGUGACGGUGUCGUAGUUGAGUUUAGAGGAAAAUUUAUAGUGCACACAGGACAUUGUGGCAAAGGAUUCCUAAGGUUCAGCGAGGAGACGUGGACACUCUCAAUAUAUGUAUAUUUAUAAACUUAAGAGCAAAAUAUGUACACACACAAAACACUCAAAAGACAACGAAGGACCCUAAGGCCUCAGAUUAAAUACCCCCCAACCACAAGCGGGGGUUCGUGAGAACAAUAAUCCGGAACCCCCCCGUACUCAGAAUCGCUUCAUGAGGGAGGAGCAGGACGGGAAAAGGGGCAAUCGAGGAUCCGCCAACCGGCACAAUGUCACCCGGCUGGGUCCCACUCGCUCAUGCUAAGGGCCGGCAAGAGACCGGGGCAGGCGGUGCAGUCAGUAGCGGUCAGUCCACACGUUAGAGUCCGAAUGACCCCGCGGGGUCAGGGGUCCAUAGCGGCCGC
rnacentral:lncRNA from 1 species